CUCCUCAGAGCUGCGCACCUGAGCCGCUGAGACAGGUGAGGGUGUGUUUUAUAGGACUCCGCCGCCGCCAACGCUGCCUCCGCCGCCGGCGCACAUGCUGAGCUGAUGAGGUUUUCUCGUUCCUGAGUGUCCAAGUAAGAAUAAAUCAAUCAGUCAACCGUUAUUCACUCUGGGAGAACCCUGAUGGGGCCCCUCG
ensembl:lncRNA